UACGUAGGGUGCGAGCGUUAAUCGGAAUUACUGGGCGUAAAGCGUGCGCAGGCGGUUGUGUAAGACAGGUGUGAAAUCCCCGGGCUUAACCUGGGAACUGCACUUGUGACUGCACGGCUUGAGUGCGGCAGAGGGGGAUGGAAUUCCGCGUGUAGCAGUGAAUGCGUAGAUAUGCGGAGGAACACCGAUGGCGAAGGCAGCCCCCUGGGAUAACACUGACGCUCAUGCACGAAAGCGUGGGGAGCAAACAGGAUUAGAAACCCUGGUAGUCC
rnacentral:rRNA from 1 species